AAAAAGGGCUUCUGUCGUGAGUGACACACUUAGGGCAGCUCGUUUGCUCUACGUGCGGAAUCAACAUCAAGAGAUUUCGGAAGCAUUUAGUUAAAAAGAAAAGGGGGAAUUGUCGUAUGCUUUACAUUGACUUGUUCUAGCCCUCCCCCUCC
rnacentral:snRNA from 1 species